CGAGAAUGGCGCAGGCCGCCCUCGAGGGUACUUGCGUUUCUGUUUUUCUCCUUUUGGGAGACAGGCAGCCGGCCUAUAGAAGGUGGGCAGAACUCCAGCUAAGAGGACAAAGCUGGCUGGCUGGCUGGUGGAUGAUAGCUGCCCUUGUACGGAGGCUGGCUGUUGAAGGAGGAGACCCGUGCUUGGGAGUUCUGCAAGCUGAUUCGUUACUGGGAAAAAGUUUGCUAACCCCUGAUGUCAAGGAAGGAACAUGUCGUUCUAAGCCUCGGAUCACACAACUUGGAAUCCAUACUUGUUUUUAUAAUGUACAUUUCAGAGUUUUAAUUUCUCAUCUGAGAAAUGGGAGACUGUAUUCCUGGGGCCAACUGGCUACUUAGCUCACUAAUUACGAUUAUGACACUGACUAAAAUCAUGAGUGUGGAAAUGCGUGGCAAGCUGUAAAAAGUUAUAAAGAAUGCUCAAUAUCAUUUGGACUGUUUUCAAAGCAUUUGACAAAAGAGAGACAGCCAAGAAAGUUGUUUUUUCCUCAAUAGAGAAAUCACUCUGGCCACUAAGAGACUCCUUCUGAGGUGGUCAAAGGAGGCAACACAGACGGAGGAAGGAGGACUGGAGGAGAAGCCGGCAGGAGGCUGCCCAGCCAGAGAUGGAGAACAAGCUGAGGCCCUCCCUGAGCAAGGGUAAAUGCUCUGUCUCCCUUUCUCAGUGGCUGUGGGGACUACCAGAGAGCAGGUCUGGUUUGCAGGGAUCGCCGUGACAGCACAGGGAUGAGCACCCAGCAAGGGGACGGAGUCCGGAGACUGGGCAGUUAGGACAGCAGGCCCCAGAACCAAGCAGAACUGCCCCCGCCAUUCUCCAGCCGUUCUUACUCUCUUCCUCAUCUGUGAAAUGGGUAUGACCACAGCAGCUACCUUCUAAGGCUUUGUGAAUAUUGAGGAGCACAAAGCACAUGUAGGGCUCAGCAUGCUUGGCACAGACCCUCAGUACACAGUAGCCACCGUUAUAAUAAUUUGUUCUCGAUGGGCUCUGCUGAAUGGAAUCCAUGGAACAAAGAAAGGGCUGGGAGCAGGAAAGCACUGGAUGGACGCCAUCAUGACUCAUUUUAAUGCCACUCUCUCCCCAGCACCUACCCCUUCUAGGCCGGUGACAGUGGCCAGCUCCCGAGGGAGAGGCUGCCCACCUUUCAUUUAACCUUGGUUUGUUCUCAUCUCUUUUGGUCAUGAUCUUUCCUCUCCUCCUCCUCAAAAGAAAGGGUAAGGCACAGGAAUCCUUGGUUCUGCAAAGAGGCAGGCCCAUCUCUUGCUUGAUUCCACUGGAAAAAUCAGAACAAUUCCUAUUAUUUUCGGUUCCCAGACCUUGAAUGUGUCAGGCUUCAGGUUCACUUCCUACAUGUCUCUCGUCGCCGGAUCUGCAAGUAAUUUAACCUUGUUUUUAUAGAGCGCAAAGACGUUCCACUUGUUUACAUUGGAGACAAAUUUUCCUCAAUUGACGCAAUCCUAUUGAUUAAAUAAUGACUUUCUUCCUCAUUUAAAGGUAAUUUCGGUUGGUAUCAUGACACGGAGGAGGAAAGUGAAUGCCUUUUCUGUCCUGCUGGGUGAAUGGCAGGCUGUGAGGGCCAAAUCCCACCAUCCUGGGAGGGGCCUUCUCAUUUUUCUCACCUGUUCUGGAGUCUUGGAAGGUUGGUGGAGUAAAGCUGAUGCCAGGACCCUGUGAGAAGGUUGGUUAAACACAGACAGAUCUUGAUUAGGGGCAUUAAGGAGCCUGUAUUUGCUCGGGAAUGGAUAUCAAGCCUGGGCUGGGUAGAUGCCCCUCUGUUUUAAAAAUGGAUUUGGGGGAGGGUUGGGGGGGUGGGUAAAAUGGGUGAAGAGGGUCAAAAGAUAC